GGGCAAGUUUGUAAAUAAUGGGUCCAGCCUCCUCAUUCUCCAGAUGAGGAAGCCCAAAGGCUCCUGCAAGUACGUCAGCUCCACCGUCUCCAUGCGUCUCCUAGGAGCCCAUGGUGCUGAAACAGGACAGAAGAGCACUGUGCCCCCAAGGACUCCCAGGGUCCCAGCUCCGUUCUGCCUGGAGGAGUGAGGCAGGAAGGACUCCAGCCUCCGUGACUCUGAGUCCCCUGGAGAAAGCAGGGAAGGCCACCAGGAGGGCCCAGUGCCCUAGAGGAGGAGUGUCUCCCAAACCAGGUGAAGUCAUGAAGCUAAGGUAGCUUGCCCAAGGACACACAGCUGUUCUGGUCAUGUGGAAUCUCCCACUCCCCAUCUGCUUCUACAGAGACCUGUCCUUGGAACCCAGGAAUGAAGCUGUGUGUUGAUGGGGCUCUCCCCUCCUCCCAUCCUCACUGCCCAACCUGGACCAAGCUCCUGGACUCUACGCCACCCCUCUCCCUGUCCCUAUGUCCACAUGGAGAAGGACCCCCUCAAGGUGGAGGUGGAGGGAGGAUUCCUGGGAGCAAAUCAUGUCCUGUGCUCUUCUUGGGGAAACCGAAUCUCAGGAAGCUACGUGUGCAAGAGUCCUGCACAGAAGCAAGAAAAGAAAAGAUCAAGAAGGGAGUGACUGAUGAAUAAAAGUUAAAAGAAAAAAAAAAGAAAGAAAAGAAAAGAAAAAAGUGAUGGGAUGGAAACAACAGAGAAGGUUGAUAAGUUGGACUUCAUAAAAAUUUAAAACUUUGGCACUUUAAAGAAUACCAUCAAAAAAGGGAAAGAAGACCACAGAAUGAGAGAUGUUUGCAAAUCUGAUAUCUGAAUAAAGGAUAUCUAUCUAGAAUAUAUACAAAGAACUCUUACAACUCAAUAAUAAAGAGGUAAAUAACCCAAAUGGACAAAAGAUAUGAAUAGACACCUCAUCAAAGAAGACACAAAUGGCCAAUAAGUGUAUGCAAAGAUGCUCCCUAUCACUGGCAGUAAGGGAAAUGCCAACCCAAACCCCUUCACACCUGCUAGGAUGGCUACAAUGAAAAAGACAAUACCAAGCAUUGCUGAUGAUGUGACGUUGGAACCCUUCCACAUUAUUGGUGGGAAUGUGAAACAGUGCAGCCUCUUUGGGAAACAGUCUGGCAGUCAGAGUUACCACAUGACCCAGCAAUUCCGCUCCUGCAUGUGUAUCCAAGGGAAGCAACUACACAUCUACACAGGAACUCACUGGUGAAUGCUCACAGCAGCAUCAUGCAUAACGGUAGCCAAAAAGUAGAAGCCACCCAAACAUCCACCAACUGAUAGAUUCAACAGAAUGUAGUAAUUCAUACAAGGAUUAUUAUUUGGCCAUAAUAAGGAAUGAAGGGCUGAUAUGUGCUAAACAUGGGUGAACCUUGAAAACAUCCUGCUGAGUGACAGAAUCCAGUUAUGAAAGAUUACAUAUUGUAUGAUUUCAUCUAUACAGAAUGUCCAGAACAGGCAAAUCUAUAGACAGAAAGCCGAUUAGUGGUUGCUCAGGGCUGGGGAACAGGGAGUGGAGGAAUGGGGAGUGACUUUAGUGAUUCAAGGUUCCUUUUGUGGGUGAUGAAAAUGUUCUAAAGUUAGAUUAUGGUUAUGAUUACACAAUUCUGUAAGAUAUACUAAAAGCCAUUGCAGUGUACACUUUAAAUGGGUGAACUUCUAUGGUAUGUAAAUUAUAUCUCACUAGAGAUGGUAAAA